rnacentral:rRNA from 1 species
AGUGAACGCUGGCGGUAGGCCUAACACAUGCAAGUCGAACGGCAGCACAGUAAGAGCUUGCUCUUACGGGUGGCGAGUGGCGGACGGGUGAGGAAUACAUCGGAAUCUACUUUUUCGUGGGGGGUAACGUAGGGAAACUUACGCUAAUACCUCAUACGACCUACGGGUGAAAGCAGGGGAUCUUCGGACCUUGCGCGAUUGAAUGAGCCGAUGUCGGAUUAGCUAGUUGGCGGGUUAAAGGCCCACCAAGGCGACGAUCCGUAGCUGGUCUGAGAGGAUGAUCAGCAACACUGGAACUGAGACACGGUCCAGCCUCCUACGGGAGGCGGCAGUGGGGAAUAUUGGACAAUGGGCGAAAGCCUGAUCCAGCCAUACCGCGUGGGUGAAGAAGGCCUUCGGGUUGUAAAGCCCUUUUGUUGGGAAAGAAAAGCAGCAGGUUAAUACCCCGAUGUUCUGACGGUACCCAAAGAAUAAGCACCGGCUAACUUCGUG